rnacentral:lncRNA from 1 species
AAACAGGACACAAUUGGAGAAACUGGUUAUUUUACCAAGGCUUUGACUGGAAUGGUGCACUUUCCUUUAAGGAUCAAACAUGACUUAUGGAGCCAAUUAAAUCCCCUUGGGAAAACUGGCCUCAUUGCUUGUCUACACAGUUCCUGUCCAGGGUUCCUGACUUACGGAUGUGAGACUUCACAACCUGCUAAAAAUGAACUUUCCUAAUAACUCGGGACCUACCCAUCUAGGAAUAAACCAUCCUAUUCAUGACAGUGCCUGUGAAAGAUAAAGGAGAAAGAAUCAGGGUUGGAGAACUGGAAAAGUCUUGGCCAACCAAAUAGGCAACCCUGCAGCAAAGAUUGCCCAUUAGAAGAGUCAAAUGCUAGGAAGAAAUUGCAAACCCUACUAUUCUCACUGUGCUCAAACUUCGACUAGGAACUUCCACAAAGAGUGUGGCCUUGGCUUGAACAUUGCAGCAGCAGAUUAUGUAGGUGCUGAACUUGGAGUUUUGCACUUCUCACAGCUGACAGCAAAUUCUUUCUUCAAGGGAGACCUGAGCAGUCCUCCAUAUCUGCCAAAUUACUGCAUAGGAACAAAAAGGAGCCCUCCAUUCAUCUAAGAAGCAAAAUGAACUAGCAGAGAGAGCUUUGGCAUCAGGCAAAUCUGAUUGUAAAUACUUCUAGCAUAUAGUUGCUCUUACAUUGGUAUGUUGCCUAUUGUUUCAGAGUAUUACUUUCCUUGUCUAUAAUGGGAAAAUAAUAAUAAUUAUCUUAUGGUUAUUUGUUGAAUACAUGGGUAAAGUUAUUAUGAGGAUUAAAUAAGAUAACACUUGGGAAUAGCCUAAUAGAGUGUUUAGCACAUAAUGGAUGUUCAAUGGAUAUAUUAAAGUAAUAAAUUGCCCUAAUUUCUUAUUUGCAAAAGUUAAGAGACUCUGGUCACAACUUCUGAUGGAAUAUCUUAAAUAAUUCAUUUUUUUCCUAGACAUUUUAUGCACAAUAAUGGGACUGUGAUACACACAUUACCCCUUCUGCCUGAAGUGACUUGACUUUCCCUCUUUGUCACUCUGCAAGGUCCAUUGUCCAUUCUGAAGCAUUAAAUAACUAGUAUAAUAGGUCAUGAGGGAAAUUCCUGGCAUCUUAAUUUAAGUAUAUUACUUUGGCUGCAAGUCAAAGUUAUCAUUAUUAGGAUUUCUGGCAUCAGAACAAUCACUUGUAAUUCUUUCUGGAAGAAUUUUCUUGGUUAAGCAAUGCUAAUGAAAUCCUACUUAAACCAGCUAUAUUCUCUGGCAAUUUCCCAUCUAUGUAUGCACUGAUAAAUACUUGGAAGAUUCUCAUUCCUCAUUGAUUUAUUGACAUAAAAUCAUUUUGGUUCACUAUUACAAUUUUCAUUUCAUCUACAAUUAACCCAUUAAAUUUAUUAUUCCAAUUAUUCUUUACUCCUGGCACCUUAUGUUACUAUAACUGUUAUUUUAUACUAUUAUUAACACCUAAAUCUAUGAUACUGAAAAGGGUAAUAAUAAAUUUACAGUAGUUAUUUCCACAUCACCUUAGUUUGGGACAUAUUAUUGUUUACAACUUUACGUUACUACAGUAAUCUUGCUGUAUAAGUAUCUGUGUACAAGUUCUUUAUUUUUUACGGAAACAUUGAAAUAUUUAUUUGGAUUUUUUUCAGAGUUGGAUUGCUGGAUCAGGAAAUAUUAAUAUUUUAAAGACAUUUAUUACCAAACCAGUAUCAAAAAUAUCACUUUGGUUGACCAUGAUACCAGCAAUGGAUACAUGUAUAUGUUUCCCUGAAAUGCUAUGAAUACUGUUUUUCUGAGGCAUGAAGAGGUAAGCAGCAACACAAAGACUAGCAUCAAUGCCUCCUCUUUUUUUAUCUAGUGCUUUCAGCACAACCUAUCAUAUGAGCAAAAAGUAUACAUUAAUCUAGUAGAUGCACCUGCCUAUUUUAUCUUGUGGUUUAACUUCCAAGAACACUUCCUAAAAAUAUACAAUGUCUUAGCACCAAUUACAAUGUUAUAAUUAAUUUAUCCUUAAUUUUCUGAAUAAAGUAAUUUUCAGGCACAUCUUUCCAUGGAUUCGGUUUGUAGUUCUGGCUAAUUGCAUGGGCUCAGAAACCAGACGGAAUCUCAAGUCUCCUACUUAGUAGAUAUGUGAGAGGCACAGGGGUUACUCAGUCUUUCUGCACUUCAAUUUUCUUCCUAUGAAAUGGGUUUGACAAUGGCAUAGAAUUUAGAGUAUUAUGACACAUAAAUGAGUUAAUAUAAAGAAACUACUUAAAAAGUAUCUAAUAUACAGUAAAAUACCAAUAAAUUCUAGCUGUAUUUGGGAGCUCCCUAAAUAUGUAGUAGGGAGAUAUAUAUUUAAUAGGCUUUGUCUUUGUUUAAAAUGAUUGAUUGAUUAGGCCAUUUAUGUUGUAAUAUAUGUUUAACACCAUGUAGAUCAGGGAAGACAAAUAUAUUUCAUGUCCCAUUGUCAUUUGACUGGUAAUGGCUGCCUGGAACACUGUGCUGAAAAGGAUUGUGUGUCCACAUCUAUGACUAGAGAGAGUCAUAUUUAAUUAGCAGUGUCAGCCACAGGUGCAGAAG